rnacentral:rRNA from 1 species
GACGAACGCUGGCGGCGUGCUUAACACAUGCAAGUCGAACGGAAAGGCCCUGCUUUUGUGGUGUGCUCGAGUGGCGAACGGGGGAGUAACACGUGAGUAACCUGCCCUUGACUUUGGGAUAACUUCAGGAAACUGGGGCUAAUACCGGAUAGGAGCUCCUGCUGCAUGGUGGGGGUUGGAAAGUUUCGGCGGGUGGGGAUGGACUCGCGGCUUAUCAGCUUGUUGGUGGGGUAGUGGCUUACCAAGGCUUUGACGGGUAGGCGGCCUGAGAGGGUGGACGGCCACCAUGGGACUGCGAUACGGACCAGACUGCUACGGGAGGCAGCAGUGGGGAAUAUGGCACAAUGGGCGGAAGCCUGAUGCAGAGGCGCCGCGUGCGUGAUGACGGCCUUCGGGUUGUGAACCGCUUUCGCCUGUGACGAAGCGUGAGUGACGGUAAUGGGUAAAGAAGCACCGGCUAACUACGUG